rnacentral:rRNA from 1 species
GCGGAGGGUCAUUACACAAUAUGAAGGCGGGCUGGACACCCCCAGCUGGGCACUGCUUCACGGCGUGCGCGGCUGGGCCGGCCCUGCUGAAUUAUUCACCCGUGUCUUUUGCGUACUUCUUGUUUCCUGGGUGGGCUCGCCCGCCAUCAGGACCAACCAUAAACCUUUUGCAAUAGCAAUCAGCGUCAGUAACAACGUAAUUAAUUACAACUUUCAACAACGGAUCUCUUGGUUCUGGCAUCGAUGAAGAACGCAGCGAAAUGCGAUACGUAGUGUGAAUUGCAGAAUUCAGUGAAUCAUCGAAUCUUUGAACGCACAUUGCGCCCUUUGGUAUUCCAAAGGGCAUGCCUGUUCGAGCGUCAUUUGUACCCUCAAGCUUUGCUUGGUGUUGGGCGUCUUUUGUCUCCAGUUCGCUGGAGACUCGCCUUAAAGUCAUUGGCAGCCGGCCUACUGGUUUCGGAGCGCAGCACAAGUCGCGCUCUUAGCCAGCCAAGGUCAGCGUCCAGCAAGCCUUUUUUCAACCUUUGACCUCGGAUCAGGUAGGGAUACCCGCUGAACUUAAGCAUAUCAAUAAGCGGAGGAAAAGAAACCAACAGGGAUUGCCCUAGUAACGGCGAGUGAAGCGGCAACAGCUCAAAUUUGAAAUCUGGCUCUUUUAGAGUCCGAGUUGUAAUUUGCAGAGGGCGCUUUGGCUUUGGCAGCGGUCCAAGUUCC